GCCUGAAUACUGAACACCUCUCUUUGGGCAAGAAUUACUGCAGGUUGACAUCACAUUGUGCUGUUCUGGACACCAUUUCACAAACAGUUGACAAAGCAGGUCAAAUAAGAGCUGAGGAGCGGACAGGAUUGCCCUUACCACUGUGUAUAGCAAGAAAAAAACAAGCCAUUUAAAAUAACUCUUUGAUACGCCUCUUGAAAUUAUUUGCAUUUAGUUGAAUAAAUCAAAAUUUUCAAAAAAAUGUAGUUUGUCAUUUAUCAUUUGUCCUGUACACACAUUUGCUGCCUAGGAUAUUCAAUAAAUGUGUAUUAAAGACAGCUGAAUGUGAAGCAUGAUAAGAUUCUGUAGUUAGAUUUUAAAAUAAUUUCUUAACUUGUAAGUUUUGAAAAUGUGCCAAAUUUACAUGUAAAUUUUUAUAAAAGUAGUCAUGUAUUGGAACUCUUCAACAUGCUAUUCAUUUACCUUUGGUAUCUCCUCUUACAUAAGAAAUGAAGAAAAUCCCUUUGAAAACACACAUUUUCUAAUUAUCAAGAGUAUUAUCCAGAGCCUUUCUCUCAGCUCUGAUAUAGGUAUUUUUCAUUCUUUGCCUUUCUGUAGUCUAAUUGCUAAUUGUGUUAAAACUAAUGAAACCUUUGAAAAAAUUUAACACUAUAUCAGUAGUACAAUUUAAUAGUUACCUAAGUUGUAACUUUUCAGUGAUGAAUUACUGGAAAAUUAUUGACAUAAAAUAUUAUGAUAUCAGACUCUAAUCAAAGGAACAGUACCAGGAAGGAGAAGGCAAUUGACUAUGCAAAAACAAAAUCCAAAAAAUGGUCAUUUUAAAAAAUAAAAUUCAAAUUUCAAAGAAUGCUGGAGAAACAACAAAAGAUUCUGAUCUUACAUUGCUAGAUGAGAUCAGUAAAGCAGUAUUGAAUGUCUUCAUCUUUUCACCAAAAAUUGGGCACUUGCUCUAAAUCAAUAGACUGAACAAUGUCAUCUGCAUAUCUGAGGUUAUUGAUAUUUCUCCGGCAAUCUUGAUUCCAGCUUGUGCUU
rnacentral:lncRNA from 1 species